GUACACAAAAAUGCACAUAUUGUGAGCUCGAUGAGUAGGGCGGGACACGUGGUAUCCUGUCUGAAUAUGGGGGGACCAUCCUCCAAGGCUAAAUACUCCUGACUGACCGAUAGUGAACCAGUACCGUGAGGGAAAGGCGAAAAGAACCCCGGCGAGGGGAGUGAAAAAGAACCUGAAACCGUGUACGUACAAGCAGUGGGAGCCUCUUAAUGGGGUGACUGCGUACCUUUUGUAUAAUGGGUCAGCGACUUAUAUUCUGUAGCAAGGUUAACCGAAUAGGGGAGCCGAAGGGAAACCGAGUCUUAACUGGGCGUUAAGUUGCAGGGUAUAGACCCGAAACCCGGUGAUCUAGCCAUGGGCAGGUUGAAGGUUGGGUAACACUAACUGGAGGACCGAACCGACUAAUGUUGAAAAAUUAGCGGAUGACUUGUGGCUGGGGGUGAAAGGCCAAUCAAACCGGGAGAUAGCUGGUUCUCCCCGAAAGCUAUUUAGGUAGCGCCUCGUGAAUUCAUCUCCGGGGGUAGAGCACUGUUUCGGCAAGGGGGUCAUCCCGACUUACCAACCCGAUGCAAACUGCGAAUACCGGAGAAUGUUAUCACGGGAGACACACGGCGGGUGCUAACGUCCGUCGUGAAGAGGGAAACAACCCAGACCGCCAGCUAAGGUCCCAAAGUCAUGGUUAAGUGGGAAACGAUGUGGGAAGGCCCAGACAGCCAGGAUGUUGGCUUAGAAGCAGCCAUCAUUUAAAGAAAGCGUAAUAGCUCACUGGUCGAGUCGGCCUGCGCGGAAGAUGUAACGGGGCUAAACCAUGCACCGAAGCUGCGGCAGCGACACUAUGUGUUGUUGGGUAGGGGAG
rnacentral:rRNA from 1 species